CACAUCUUGCGCUCCUUGGCAUUCCGAGGAGCAUGCCUGUUUGAGUGUCGUGAAUUGCUCUCAAUUUCUAAUCUUUCUUUGGAUGGAUUUGAAAUUGGAUUUGGAUGAUGUUGUGAAAAAGUGAUCACAACUGAUCCUAAAUGGAUUAACGGUCUGAAUUUGAUCACGCAAUGUGAUAAGUUGAAAUGUGCAUUGUUUAAAGAUGAAAGACAGACUGUGUAUAGAUGAUUAACUUUUGUUAUAUGUCAUUUGACCUCAAAUCAGGUAGGAUUACCCGCUGAACUUAA
rnacentral:misc_RNA from 1 species